rnacentral:lncRNA from 1 species
CGCCCCUCUUUGUUCCUUCGUUUGUGCGCCAAGUGGAGGACUUUUCACCAGAAUGGUGGAAUUUGGUGACAACUUCAACAUGGUUCCAUGACUAUUGGAUGAGCCAGAACCAGGGAGAGGAAUAUGGUAAUGAUCAAUAUGGAGCUGGUAACGAUAUUGCUGAUUUGCUUCCGGAGAAUAUUGAUCUUAAUGUGGAUGAGGAUAUCUUGAACAUGGAAGCUCAGUUUGAGGAAUUUCUCCAAUCAUCCCGAAGUGGGCAACAAGGAAUUAAGUCACCUCUCUAUGGUGUCAAUGGAAUUCCGCAAUAUGGUAUGCACUGUCUCUCUCAUUCUUUCAAUUACUUGUCAUAACUUCCAGUUUAGUCAAUGGUGUUGUUACUAUUAUUCUCAUAUGAUUGUUCCUUCAUAAAAAUUUACCCCCUUGACAACAGGUUUACCCAAUGUUUCUGAUGCACUGAUAAGAACUAUGCGUUCACCAAGAUCCCCCGUUGCGCCUCCAAUGUACUAUGAGAAGCCAGCCAAGAUUGUGAGCUCAAGGAACAGCUUCCGCAGCAUCCAGCAG